rnacentral:rRNA from 2 species
UGGGGAAUCUUCCGCAAUGGGCGAAAGCCUGACGGAGCAACGCCGCGUGAACGAUGAAGGUCUUAGGAUCGUAAAGUUCUGUUGUUAGGGACGAAGGGUAAGAAUCAUAAUAAGGUUUUUAUUUGACGGUACCUAACGAGGAAGCCACGGCUAACUACGUGCCAGCAGCCGCGGUAAUACGUAGGCGGCAAGCGUUGUCCGGAAUUAUUGGGCGUAAAGGGAGCGCAGGCGGGAAACUAAGCGGAUCUUAAAAGUGCGGGGCUCAACCCCGUGAUGGGGUCCGAACUGGUUUUCUUGAGUGCAGGAGAGGAAAGCGGAAUUCCCAGUGUAGCGGUGAAAUGCGUAGAUAUUGGGAAGAACACCAGUGGCGAAGGCGGCUUUCUGGACUGUAACUGACGCUGAGGCUCGAAAGCUAGGGUAGCGAACGGG